CAGCAGCCACGGUAAUACGAGGGGUGCAAGCGUUAUUCGGAUUGAUUGGGUGUAAAGGGUGUGCAGACGGCUUAUUAAGUCACUUGCUAAAUUCUUCGGCCUAACUGAAGGUCUGCAAGUGAUACUGAUGAGCUAGAGGGUGGAAGAGAGAAGUGGAAUUCUCGGAGUAGCGGUAAAAUGCGUAGAUCUCGAGAGGAACACCAAUGGCGAAGGCAGCUGCUUGGUCCAUUCCUGACGUUCAUACACGAAAGCGUGGGGAGCAAACAGGAUUAGAUACCCGCGUAGUCCCUGUCUCUUAUAC
rnacentral:rRNA from 1 species